CCUACGGGGGGCAGCAGUGGGGAAUAUUGGACAAUGGGGGGAACCCUGAUCCAGCCAUGUCGCGUGUGUGAAGAAGGCCCUCGGGUUGUAAAGCACUUUCAGUGAGGAAGAACGCCUGGUGGUUAAUACCCAUCAGGAAAGACAUCACUCACAGAAGAAGCACCGGCUAACUCCGUGCCAGCAGCCGCGGUAAUACGGAGGGUGCGAGCGUUAAUCGGAAUUACUGGGCGUAAAGCGCGCGUAGGUGGCUUGAUAAGCCGGUUGUGAAAGCCCCGGGCUCAACCUGGGAACGGCAUCCGGAACUGUCAAGCUAGAGUGCAGGAGAGGAAGGUAGAAUUCCCGGUGUAGCGGUGAAAUGCGUAGAGAUCGGGAGGAAUACCAGUGGCGAAGGCGGCCUUCUGGACUGACACUGACACUGAGGUGCGAAAGCGUGGGUAGCAAACAGGAUUAGAUACCCCAGUAGUC
rnacentral:rRNA from 1 species